rnacentral:rRNA from 1 species
GGGGAUUAUUGCGCAAUGGGCGAACGCCUGACGCACCAACGCCGCGUACGGGAUGAAGUCCUUCGGGUUGUAAACAGCUUUCAGCAGGGACGAAGGUUUUCUGACGGUCCCUGCAGAAGAAGCACCGGAUAACUACGUGCCAGCAGCCGAGGUGAUACGUAGGGUGCGAGCGUUGUCCGGAAUUAUUGGGCGUAAAGAGCUUGUAGGCGGUCUGUUGCGUCGGAAGUGAAAACUCAGGGCUUAACCCUGAGCCUGCUUUCGAUACGGGCAGACUUGAGGGAUGUAGGGGAGAACGGAAUUCCUGGUGGAGCGGUGGAAUGCGCAGAUAUCAGGAGGAACACCAGUGGCGAAGGCGGUUCUCUGGACAUUUCCUGACGCUGAGAAGCGAAAGCGUGGGGAGCAAACA